CCCUUAGAUGUCCUGGGCCGCACGCGCGCUACACUGAGUGUCUGAGAUACGAGUCUGCCUGGUCCGGCAAGGUCUAGGUAAUCGCUAAAAGACACAUCAUGCUUGGGAUAGAUUAUUGCAAAUAUUAAUCUUGAACGAGGAAUUCCCAGUAGGCGCAAGUCAUAAGCUUGCGUCGAUUACGUCCCUGCCCUUUGUACACACCGCCCGUCGCUACUACCGAUUGAACGUUUUAGUGAGCUCCUCGGAUUGUCAGCCUGGCGGUUAAUCCUGCCUGGCUAGCGAAAAGACGAGCAAACUUGAGCGUUUAGAGGAAGUAAAAGUCGUAACA
rnacentral:rRNA from 1 species